rnacentral:lncRNA from 1 species
AGUCAUAACCCUAGUAUGGCAAAAAUAAUAUAGAAGAGGAAUCAAUAAGCAAUUCCUCUUAUGUUCUAUGAUAGUAUAAAAAGUGAUGCCACAAUAAGCAACCUUGCAAGUGAAAAUUCCUAAUCAAUAUUGAAAAAAAUAUAUUUAAUAAAGACCUAAUUUAAGUUUAACCCUCGUGUUUCCUCUUCGUUUUCUUUUUAGACCGU